UGUGUUAAUGUUUGCGGGUGUGUAUGUUGCAAUGUUUGUCAGCUGUGUUAAUGUUUGCGGGUGUGUAUGUUGCAAUGUUUGUCAGCUGUGUUAAUGUUUGCGGGUGUGUAUGUUGCAAUGUUUGUCAGCUGUGUUAAUGUUUGCGGGUGUGUAUGUUGCAAUGUUUGUCAGCUGUGUUAAUGUUUGCGGGUGUGUAUGUUGCAAUGUUUGUCAGCUGUGUUAAUGUUUGCGGGUGUGUAUGUUGCAAUGUUUGUCAGCUGUGUUAAUGUUUGCGGGUGUGUAUGUUGCAAUGUUUGUCAGCUGUGUUAAUGUUUGCGGGUGUGUAUGUUGCAAUGUUUGUCAGCUGUGUUAAUGUUUGCGGGUGUGUAUGUUGCAAUGUUUGUCAGCUGUGUUAAUGUUUGCGGGUGUGUAUGUUGCAAUGUUUGUCAGCUGUGUUAAUGUUUGCGGGUGUGUAUGUUGCAAUGUUUGUCAGCUGUGUUAAUGUUUGCGGGUGUGUAUGUUGCAAUGUUUGUCAGCUGUGUUAAUGUUUGCGGGUGUGUAUGUUGCAAUGUUUGUCAGCUGUGUUAAUGUUUGCGGGUGUGUAUGUUGCAAUGUUUGUCAGCUGUGUUAAUGUUUGCGGGUGUGUAUGUUGCAAUGUUUGUCAGCUGUGUUAAUG